rnacentral:rRNA from 1 species
ACUGAUUUGACGAUGGAUUACCAGUGAGCGGCGGACGGGUGAGUAACACGUGGGCAACCUGCCCUAAAGCGGGGGAUAACAUUUGGAAACAGGUGCUAAUACCGCAUAACUACGAAAACCACAUGGUUUUCGUAUAAAAGAUGGUUUCGGCUAUCACUUUAGGAUGGGCCCGCGGUGCAUUAGCUAGUUGGUAGGGUAACGGCUUACCAAGGCAAUGAUGCAUAGCCGAGUUGAGAGACUGAUCGGCCACAAUGGAACUGAGACACGGUCCAUACUCC